GAUGAAGAACGUAGCGAAAUGCGAUACUUGGUGUGAAUUGCAGAAUCCCGUGAACCAUCGAGUCUUUGAACGCAAGUUGCGCCCGAAGCCAUUAGGCCGAGGGCACGCCUGCCUGGGCGUCACACGUCGUUGCCCCCCCAUCUAAUCCUUCGGGAUUGCGGGGGGCGGAUGAUGGCCUCCCGUGCGCCUCGUCGCGCGGUUGGCAUAAAUGCCAAGUCCUCGGCGACGCACGCCACGACAAUCGGUGGUUGCGAAACCUCGGUUGCCCGUCGUGUGCGGUCGUCGCGCAUCGAGGGCUCGAAAAAAUUGCCGGGCUCCGGCUCGACUUUCAACGCGACCCCAGGUCAGGCGGGGUUACCCGCUGAAUUUAAGCAUAUCAUAAGCGGAGGA
rnacentral:misc_RNA from 1 species